UACGUAGGGUGCAAGCGUUAAUCGGAAUUACUGGGCGUAAAGCGUGCGCAGGCGGUUUUGUAAGACAGAGGUGAAAUCCCCGGGCUCAACCUGGGAACUGCAUCUGUGACUGUAUAGCUAGAGUACGGUAGAGGGGGAUGGAAUUCCGCGUGUAGCAGUGAAAUGCGUAGAUAUGCGGAGGAACACCGAUGGCGAAGGCAAUCCCCUGGACCUGUGACUGACGCUCAUGCACGAAAGCGUGGGGAGCGAACAGG
rnacentral:rRNA from 1 species